UCAGACUGUGCAGAAAUGUGAGAUGUUUACGGAAAAUUACCUCCUAACAAUCAGACAAAGAAAAACUUUCAGUUAUUUAUGGGAAGCUAUUAACUUGAGGGAAAAAGAUAAAGUUGACCAACCAGAAUUGCUCCUACCAAAGAAAUGUAACACUUUUCACUAAACUGCAAUUGUAUCACUGUAAAACUAAAAUAGCCAUUUGUUUUUAGUGCUGCUGAGUGGAUUCCCACUCCUAGCCGCCCUGUGGACAGCAGAGCAGAACCCUGCCCAGCCUUUUUGCCCCACCCUCUCAUGUUCACUCUAUCAGACAGUGCUCUGCUGCUAUUCAUACGGUUUUCACAGCCAGUUUUUUGGCAGUGGGUGGCCAGGUCCUUCUUCCUGCUCUGUCAGAGUCUGGAAGCUCUGCUGAAACCUGUCCGCCAUGGGUGACCCUGCUGGUAUGAGAAAUCCUGGUGGCACAGUUUUCAGCAUCACAGCAACACGCAGCUGCCACAGUAUGACCACCGGCAGACGGGUGGUGUGAUUCCCUGACUAGGAAGGGAACCCGGGCCACUGUGGUGAGAUCGCCGGAUCUUAACCACUGAGCCCCUGGAUCUUAACCGCCAGGGCUGUCUCAGACACUUGAUUGAAGUCUCAAGGAGAUGGGUAUGAUGAAUGAAAAGCAUCUCCCACGGGCACCUCUGGUCUGCAGAGUGGAACCACCAGACGGAUCAACAGCAAUGCCUCUGUCCCGUCAGCGUCGACUGAGAUCACAUACGGCAGUGACGUCACACCUUCAGUUUGAUCUGAAGUAUGUUAGCAAGCUGAAAAUAAGAAAAUUUUCUCAGCCUUUACUCUGUGUCCAUCUGGAAAGAAAUAUGAAUAUCUGAUGUUAAAAGACUGAGCUGGGGCUGGCCCCGUGACCCAGUGGUUAAGUUCACGUGCUCCACUUCGGCGGCCCAGGGUUUCGCUGGUUCAGAUCCUGGGCGCGGACAUGGCAAAGCUCAUCAGGUUGUGCUGAGGUGGCGUCCCACAUAUCAGAGCCAGAGGCACUCAACUGGAACAUACAAGUAUGUACUGGGGGGGCUUUGGGGAGAAAAAGAAAGAAAAAACAAAAAGAAGAUUGGCAACAGGUGUUAGCUGAGGUGCCAAUCUUUAAAAAGAAAAAAGACAACUGAUGGACAAAAUAUGCCAUUGAGAAGAAUAAUUAUGGAAUGCUCCUAAGAAAUCACACUUAAAGCUAAAUAUAAUACAAGGUUAAAGCACUGGGAGCAAAGCUGGAGUUAUAGUGUUUGGCUGACACCAGUGGUUUUGGUUAUUGAAUUGUGGGCUUCAGAGGAUCAGACCAUGGAAGACAUAGAAAGAGUGAUUAUUAGUCUCAGAUAUUAGAGACCCUCACUACUUGUGCUUCUUUGUAAUUCUAAUACUAGCAAAACAGUACCCUAGGGUUCUGAGCAUUUUGACCUCAGGAAAACUGCAUUGAAGAUUUGCUCCUAUUUAUCGAGGUCAAAGAAUCAAUUAUUGUUUAUUUGUGUUCUGGACUGCUUCAUACAAAGCAAGUACAAAUUGCCUAAAUGUUUCAAAAGCCCACAUAAAUUAAAACUAUUGUUUACAAAUAAUUUAUUUUAUUUUGACCUAUUAUCAUUGUAUUCAGAAUACAGACUGGAUAUUUUAACAUACCACUUACCUGUUUCUUACUAGUUGACUGGGAGGAAAAGUGCAUAAAGCAAAUGCCUGACAGCCAUCACGCUGGUUUCCUGCGUGGACCACAAAAAUCAAGAUUCAUCUCAAGUUUUAAAGUUCUAGUUGAUUAUUCUAUCAGAAAUACAGAGGAAUGAGAAAAGUGUAAUAGUGGUGGAGGAAUUUGGAUGAGUCCAGAUUUACUAUAAA
rnacentral:lncRNA from 1 species